rnacentral:rRNA from 1 species
CGAACGCUGGCGGAAUGCUUAACACAUGCAAGUCGCACGGGCAGCAAUGUCAGUGGCGGACGGGUGAGUAACGCGUAGGAAUAUGUCCGGAGGUGGGGGACAACCCUGGGAAACUGGGGCUAAUACCGCAUAUGUCCUGAGGGACAAAGCCGUGAGGCGCCUUUGGAGUAGCCUGCGUCCGAUUAGCUAGUUGGUGGGGUAAAGGCCUACCAAGGCGACGAUCGGUAGCUGGUCUGAGAGGACGAUCAGCCACACUGGGACUGAGACACGGCCCAGACUCCUACGGGAGGCAGCAGUGGGGAAUAUUGGACAAUGGGCGCAAGCCUGAUCCAGCAAUUCCGCGUGGGUGAAGAAGGUCUUCGGAUUGUAAAGCCCUUUCGACAGGGACGAUGAUGACGGUACCURUAGAAGAAGCCCCGGCUAACUUC